rnacentral:rRNA from 1 species
CAGUCGCCGCGGGAAUACGAAGGGUGCAAGCGUUACUCGGAAUUACUGGGCGUAAAGCGUGUGUAGGUGGUUGUUUAAGUCUGUCGUGAAAGCCCUGGGCUCAACCUGGGAAUUGCGAUGGAUACUGGGCGACUAGAGUGCGGUAGAGGAUAGUGGAAUUUCCGGUGUAGCGGUGAAAUGCGUAGAGAUCGGGAGGAACAUCAGUGGCGAAGGCGGCCAUCUGGGACAACACUGACGCUGAGGCACGAAAGCGUGGGGAGCAAACAGGAUUAGAUACCCCCGUAGUCCCUGUCUCUUAUAC